rnacentral:rRNA from 1 species
AUUGAACGCUGGCGGCAUGCCUUACACAUGCAAGUCGAACGGUAACAGGUCUUCGGAUGCUGACGAGUGGCGAACGGGUGAGUAAUACAUCGGAACGUGCCCGAUCGUGGGGGAUAACGCAGCGAAAGCUGUGCUAAUACCGCAUACGAUCUACGGAUGAAAGCGGGGGAUCGCAAGACCUCGCGCGGACGGAGCGGCCGAUGGCAGAUUAGGUAGUUGGUGGGAUAAAAGCUUGCCAAGCCGACGAUCUGUAGCUGGUCUGAGAGGACGACCAGCCACACUGGGACUGAGACACGGCCCAGACUCCUACGGGAGGCAGCAGUGGGGAAUUUUGGACAAUGGGCGCAAGCCUGAUCCAGCCAUGCCGCGUGCAGGAUGAAGGCCUUCGGGUUGUAAACUGCUUUUGUACGGAACGAAAAAGCUCUCUCUAAUACAGGGGGUGAAUGACGGUACCGGAAGAAUAAGCACCGGCUAACUACGUG